rnacentral:rRNA from 1 species
UACGUAGGCAGCAAGCGUUGUUCGGAAUUACUGGGCGUAAAGAGUGUGUAGGCGGUGCUCUAAGUCCGUCGUGAAAUCUCCCGGCUCAACUGGGAGGGUGCGGUGGAGACUGCCGGACUGGAGGCACUCAGAGGCCGGUGGAAUUCCCGGUGUAGUGGUGAAAAUGCGUAGAGAUCGGGAGGAACACCAGUGGCGAAGGCGGGCCGGCUGGGGGGGUGACCUG